AGAACACACCACCAUGACUAAAAGAUCUGUUUCUUGUGUGGUAAUGGCUCAUUUUGACCCCAUCAUUUUGCAUGUAUAGCUGGGAUGAUGUUUUCCAAUGUACAUUCCUUUGCAUUUACCAACAUUGAAUUUCAUCUGCCAUUUUCUU